rnacentral:snRNA from 1 species
GCUGUCAGGCAGUGGCAGUAUCGUAGCCAAUGAGGUUUAUCCGAGGCGCGAUUAUUGCUAAUUGAAACUUUUCCCAGAAGUGAAGAUCAGAUGCAGAGUUCUGGCCACUGGAAGAAGCCAUAGCUU